rnacentral:rRNA from 1 species
AUUGAACGCUGGCGGCAGGCUUAACACAUGCAAGUCGAGCGGGGGAAGGUAGCUUGCUACCGGACCUAGCGGCGGACGGGUGAGUAAUGCUUAGGAAUCUGCCUAUUAGUGGGGGACAACAUCUCGAAAGGGAUGCUAAUACCGCAUACGUCCUACGGGAGAAAGCAGGGGAUCUUCGGACCUUGCGCUAAUAGAUGAGCCUAAGUCGGAUUAGCUAGUUGGUGGGGUAAAGGCCUACCAAGGCGACGAUCUGUAGCGGGUCUGAGAGGAUGAUCCGCCACACUGGGACUGAGACACGGCCCAGACUCCUACGGGAGGCAGCAGUGGGGAAUAUUGGACAAUGGGGGGAACCCUGAUCCAGCCAUGCCGCGUGUGUGAAGAAGGCCUUAUGGUUGUAAAGCACUUUAAGCGAGGAGGAGGCUACUAUAGUUAAUACCUAGAGAUAGUGGACGUUACUCGCAGAAUAAGCACCGGCUAACUCUGUG